GCCGAGGUAGCUCAACUGGUAGAGCAUCCCACUUGUAAUGGGAAGGCCUUGCGGGUUCGAGUCCCGCCCUCGGCU
rnacentral:tRNA from 1 species